UGAGUUUGAUCCCCUGGCUCAGAUUGAACGCUGGCGGCAGGCCUAACACAUGCAAGUCGAGCGGUAGAGAGAAGCUUGCUUCUCUUGAGAGCGGCGGACGGGUGAGUAAUGCCUAGGAAUCUGCCUGGUAGUGGGGGAUAACGUUCGGAAACGGACGCUAAUACCGCAUACGUCCUACGGGAGAAAGCAGGGGACCUUCGGGCCUUGCGCUAUCAGAUGAGCCUAGGUCGGAUUAGCUAGUUGGUGGGGUAAUGGCUCACCAAGGCGACGAUCCGUAACUGGUCUGAGAGGAUGAUCAGUCACACUGGAACUGAGACACGGUCCAGACUCCUACGGGAGGCAGCAGUGGGGAAUAUUGGACAAUGGGCGAAAGCCUGAUCCAGCCAUGCCGCGUGUGUGAAGAAGGUCUUCGGAUUGUAAAGCACUUUAAGUUGGGAGGAAGGGCAGUUGCCUAAUACGUAACUGU
rnacentral:rRNA from 1 species